rnacentral:rRNA from 1 species
GUGCACUUCUCCCCCAGUAGGUCGUCGCGACCCNUUCGUUUCUGUUUCGGCUUUGGGUUUCCGGUGGCAGACCCAUCACCGUCUCCGGACGGAGUUGGGACCCGGAUUAGCCCGGCCGACGGCGGACGGUAGAACCAUGUGGCGGGGGGCGGCGCUCCACGAAAGUUCAGCGCGUCCGGGCCGGCGCAAGCUCUCACGGACACACGAAUUGCCGGACUUUAGCGCCGCAUUCGUUUCCGUGCGGUUGUUGGCGUCGGUCUCCUCGGACCGACCCCUACGGCGAACCGGUCUCGGUUCGUCGGUCGCCCGUCCGCGACGCUAUAGCUUUGGGUACUUUCAGGACCCGUCUUGAAACACGGACCAARGGAGUCUAGCAUGUGCGCGAGUCAUUGGGACUCUUAAUAAACCUAAAGGCGAAAUGAAAGUGAAGGAUCCGGACCACGCGUCCGGAUCGAGGGAAGAUGGCCGAUCCGAGGAUCGCGCCCGCACUCCCGGGGCGUCUCGAUCUCAUAGCGAGAUGAGGCGCACCCAGAGCGUACACGCUGGGACCCGAA